AUACAGAGGCCCCGAGCGUUAAUCGGAAUCACUGGGCUUAAAGGGUGCGUAGGCGGAUCGUUAAGUGUCGUGUGAAAGCCCACUGCUCAACGGUGGAACCGCACGGCAAACUGGCGGUCUUGAGGAAUACAGAGGCGGGUAGAACGGUUGGUGGAGCGGUGGAAUGCGUAGAUAUCGGGAGGAACACCAGUGGCGAAGGCGGCCUACUGGGCUUUAACUGACGCUGAGGCACGAAAGUGUGGGUAGC
rnacentral:rRNA from 1 species